AGGGUUCACAUUUUCCUUAAUAGGACAGAAUAUAAUAAAGGAGGAAAAAAUGAUAUAACACAGAGCCUCCCCAGAAGAAACAACAACUUUCCACAUGCCAGAAUUCCCCAUUGAGAUUUCAGCUGUCAUAGUGCCUCUGGUAUAGUCUAAGGACUCCUCCAACAUGGCUGGUUGUUUUUGCUUCCCACUCUUCUGUUACUGUUAUCCCAUAUGGUGUGUGUAACUGAUGGGAACCCAAGCUGUAUUCCCAAGUAAUUGUCUCACAGCUAGAAAAUGUGAAGAUCAUCCUCCCCAAAGCACCCUGUGGAAGAAUAGGCUUGUGUAUGUCCUAGAGAAUAUGGAGUCUCUACCGUUUCACACACUUGAGUAUCACCAACAGCAAAGCUGAAGGAACCGAGGACAAACCUGAGAUGCAUCAACAAAGUCUAUGCCCUCAUCAAGACUAACAUAACUCUUCUACUUGUAUCAACUGAACAAAAAGUCACAAGGAACCAGGCUUCUGGAUACAUCUUCUUUCUUGUUUCCACAGGAAAUAUCAGUAAAUGUGCAAGAGGGGAGAGAAAUAGAUAAGUUAAUGUUGAUAAGAAAAGUAAAAUAAUGGCAUCUUG